CUACGGGAGGCAGCAGUAAGGAAUAUUGCGCAAUGGGCGAAAGCCUGACGCAGCGACGCCGCGUGGGGGAUGAAGGUCUUCGGAUUGUAAACCCCUUUCGGGAGGGAAGAUGGGAUGGGGUAACCCAUUCGGACGGUACCUCCAGAAGCAGCCACGGCUAACUUCGUGCCAGCAGCCGCGGUAAUAAUCUCUAGA
rnacentral:rRNA from 1 species